rnacentral:rRNA from 1 species
UACGAAGGGGGCUAGCGUUGUUCGGAAUUACUGGGCGUAAAGCGCGCGCAGGCGGUCUUCCAAGUCCGUUGUGAAAGCCCCGGGCUCAACCUGGGAAUUGCGAUGGAGACUGCAAGGCUUGAAUCUGGCAGAGGGGGGUAGAAUUCCACGUGUAGCAGUGAAAUGCGUAGAGAUGUGGAGGAACACCGAUGGCGAAGGCAGCCCCCUGGGUCAAGAUUGACGCUCAUGCACGAAAGCGUGGGGAGCAAACAGG